rnacentral:rRNA from 1 species
AGUGCACACGGUGGAUGCCUUGGCAGUUAGAGGCGAUGAAAGACGUAGGAGCCUGCGAUAAGGCGAGGGGAGCCGGCAAACAUGCUUUGAUCCUCGCAUUUCUGAAUGGGGAAACCCACCCAAUUUAUUGGGUAUCGUAUACUGAAUACAUAGGUAUACGAGGCGAACCCGGGGAACUGAAACAUCUAAGUACCCGGAGGAAAAGAAAUCAACCGAGAUUCCCCUAGUAGCGGCGAGCGAAAGGGGAUUAGCCGAGCGAUCGGCGCUAGUGGAAGCCUCUGGAAAGUGGCGCGAUAGAGGGUGAUAGCCCCGUACACGAAAGCAAAGAUCGACGUAUUAAGUAGGACGGGACACGUGUUAUCUUGUCUGAAGAUGGGGGGACCAUCCUCCAAGGCUAAAUACUCCUAACUGACCGAUAGUGAACCAGUACCGUGAGGGAAAGGCGAAAAGAACCCCUGUGAGGGGAGUGAAAUAGAUCCUGAAACCGUGUGCAUACAAGCAGUAGGAGCAGACUUGUUCUGUGACUGCGUACCUUUUGUAUAAUGGGUCAGCGACUUAUUGUCUGUAGCAAGGUUAACCGAUUAGGGGAGCCGUAGGGAAACCGAGUCUUAAUAGGGCGCGAGUUGCAGGCAUUAGACCCGAAACCCGGCGAUCUAUCCAUGGCCAGGUUGAAGAUUGAGUAACAUCAAUUGGAGGACCGAACCCACUUAUGUUGAAAAAUGAGGGGAUGAGCUGUGGAUCGGAGUGAAAGGCUAAUCAAGCCGGGAGAUAGCUGGUUCUCCCCGAAAACUAUUUAGGUAGUGCGUCGUAUCUUACCCUCGGGGGUAGAGCACUGUUUGGGCUAGGGGGUCAUCCCGACUUACCAACCCCAUGCAAACUCCGAAUACCGAGGAGUACAAUUACGGCAGACAGACAGCGGGUGCUAACGUCCGUUGUCAAGAGGGAAACAACCCAGACCGCCAGCUAAGGUCCCAAAUGCUAGUUAAGUGGGAAACGAUGUGGGAAGGCUCAGACAGCUAGGAGAUUGGCUUAGAAGCAGCCAUUCUUUAAAGAAAGCGUAAUAGCUCACUAGUCGAGUCGGCCUGCGCGGAAGAUUUAACGGGGCUAAAUUAGCAACCGAAGCUGCGGAUGCUUUCGAGCAUGGUAGGGGAGCGUUCUGUAAGCCGUUGAAGGUGAAUUGAGAAGUUUGCUGGAGGUAUCAGAAGUGCGAAUGCUGACAUAAGUAACGACAAGGGGAGUGAAAAACUCCCCCGCCGGAAGAUCAAGGUUUCCUGUCCAACGUUAAUCGGGACAGGGUUAGUCGACCCCUAAGGCGAGGCUGAGAAGCGUAGUCGAUGGGAAACAGGUUAACAUUCCUGUACUUUUUAUUACUGCGAUGGAGGGACGGAGUAGGCUAGGUUAUCACGGCGUUGGUUGUCCGUGUUCAAGGCUGUAGGCAAGCGACUUAGGUAAAUCCGGGUUGCUCUCUUUAAUGAGAAUGCUGAGAGUUGAUGACGAGUCUCGCAAGAGGCGAAGUAAUUGAUGCCAUGCUUCCAAGAAAAGCUUCUAAGCUUCAGGUAAUAGAGAAUCGUACUGUAAACCGACACAGGUGAUCAGGUAGAGAAUACCCAGGCGCUUGAGAGAACUCGGGUGAAGGAACUAGGCAAAAUGGCACCGUAACUUCGGGAGAAGGUGCGCCGGUGUUGGUGAUAGGACUUGCUCCUUGAGCUGACGCUGGUCGAAGAUACCAGGCCGCUGCGACUGUUUAUUAAAAACACAGCACUCUGCAAACACGAAAGUGGACGUAUAGGGUGUGACGCCUGCCCGGUGCCGGAAGGUUAAUUGAUGGGGUUAGCUUCGGCGAAGCUCUUGAUCGAAGCCCCGGUAAACGGCGGCCGUAACUAUAACGGUCCUAAGGUAGCGAAAUUCCUUGUCGGGUAAGUUCCGACCUGCACGAAUGGCGUAACGAUGGCGGCACUGUCUCCACCCGAGACUCAGUGAAAUUGAAAUUGCGGUUAAGAUGCCGUAUACCCGCGGCUAGACGGAAAGACCCCGUGAACCUUUACUAUAGCUUGGCACUGAACUCUGAAUUUAUUUGUGUAGGAUAGCUGGGAGGCUUUGAAGCGAUGUCGCUAGAUGUUGUGGAGCCAACCUUGAAAUACCAGCCUGAUAACUUUGG